rnacentral:lncRNA from 1 species
AAAAAUAGACAUAAGAAAUGGGUGAAAUAGAUUUUUUUAAAUGGGGGCAUUUUAGUCAUUUGGUUAUUAAAUAGAAUUAAAUGGGAAAAAGAUGGCAAAAUAUGCUCAUCUUCUUCAUGGUGAACGAAAUCAGCAAGGGGGAAGCCAUAUUUAGGGUUUUUAAGCUUUCAAGCUCCAUAAUCAAGAAAGACGUGAAGAGUAUAUCAAACGAGGAAAAGAAAAGAUAGUGGAGUAAAGUGCAAAAUUACGAUAUUUUGCACCGAGUGACUUCCAACAACUCGGAAAUUGGAACGAAGUCAGACAAUCAUCUACACUAUCCUUCACAUUUGGGGUAUUUUACUACUAGUGUUCCGAAAUUUUAUGGCAUGUAUAGACACUUUAUGUAAUGUGGGAUCAUCAUGUAAAUAUAUGUUAUGGUUCCCUUUUAAAUGUAGUGUUUAUUAAUAGUUAAACUAUAUGUGUGUUUAUACAAAUGAAAUUGGUUGGUAUAUUGGAAUGUGUUCUAAAUUUGCAGGAGGUUUAAGCAAAAAUAAGUAGGAAUGCUGUCGAAAAUUUUUAAAAAUUUAG